rnacentral:rRNA from 1 species
AUUGAACGCUGGCGGCAGGCCUAACACAUGCAAGUCGAGCGGAUGGAGGGAGCUUGCUCCUGGAUUCAGCGGCGGACGGGUGAGUAAUGCCUAGGAAUCUGCCUGGUAGUGGGGGAUAACGUCCGGAAACGGGCGCUAAUACCGCAUACGUCCUGAGGGAGAAAGUGGGGGAUCUUCGGACCUCACGUUAUCAGAUGAGCCUAGGUCGGAUUAGCUAGUUGGUGGGGUAAAGGCCUACCAAGGCGACGAUCCGUAACUGGUCUGAGAGGAUGAUCAGUCACACUGGAACUGAGACACGGUCCAGACUCCUACGGGAGGCAGCAGUGGGGAAUAUUGGACAAUGGGCGAAAGCCUGAUCCAGCCAUGCCGCGUGUGUGAAGAAGGUCUUCGGAUUGUAAAGCACUUUAAGUUGGGAGGAAGGGCAGUAAGUUAAUACCUUGCUGUUUUGACGUUACCAACAGAAUAAGCACCGGCUAACUUCGUG